GAUGAGCGCUGGCGGCGUGCCUAAUACAUGCAAGUCGAACGAAGAUCUAGCUUGCUAGAUCUUAGUGGCGAACGGGUGAGUAAUACAUAAAUAAUCUGCCCAUAUGACUGGGAUAACUAUUGGAAACGAUAGCUAAUAUCGGAUAGGUUGAUCGGAGGCAUCUCUGAUGAAUUAAAGUAGGAUUUCUACACAAAUGGAUGAGUUUAUGGCGCAUUAGUUAGUUGGUGGGGUAACGGCCUACCAAGACGAUGAUGCGUAGCCGACCUGAGAGGGUGACCGGCCACACUGGGACUGAGACACGGCCCAGACUCCUACGGGAGGCAGCAGUAGGGAAUUUUCGGCAAUGGGCGCAAGCCUGACCGAGCAACGCCGCGUGAGUGAUUAAGGCCUUCGGGUUGUAAAGCUCUGUUGUAAGGGAAGAACAUUCAGGAUAGGAAAUGAUCUUGAACUGACGGUACCUUACCAGAAAGCCACGGCUAACUACGUGCCAGCCGCCGCCGUAA
rnacentral:rRNA from 1 species